rnacentral:rRNA from 1 species
UACAGAGGAUGCAAGCGUUAUCCGGAAUGAUUGGGCGUAAAGCGUCUGUAGGUGGCUUUUUAAGUCCGCCGUCAAAUCCCAGGGCUCAACUCUGGACAGGCGGUGGAAACUACCAAGCUGGAGUACGGUAGGGGCAGAGGGAAUUUCCGGUGGAGCGGUGAAAUGCGUAGAGAUCGGGAGGAACACCAGUGGCGAAGGCGGCCGCCUGGACGGUAACUGACGCUGAGACG